GAGUUUGAUCGUGGCUCAGAACGAACGCUGGCGGCAUGCCUAACACAUGCAAGUCGAACGUGAUCCCGGUUUCGGCCGGGUGAAAGUGGCAGACGGGUGAGUAACGCGUGGGAACCUGCCCUGAGGUAGGGAAUAACCGCGGGAAACUGCGGCUAAUACCCUAUGUGCCCUGAGGGGCAAAGAUUUAUCGCCUUGGGAGGGGCCCGCGUCGGAUUAGGUAGUUGGUGGGGUAACGGCCUACCAAGCCUUCGAUCCGUAGCUGGUCUGAGAGGAUGAUCAGCCACACUGGGACUGAGAUACGGCCCAGACUCCUACGGGAGGCAGCAGUGGGGAAUAUUGGACAAUGGGGGCAACCCUGAUCCAGCAAUGCCGCGUGGGUGAUGAAGGCCUU
rnacentral:rRNA from 1 species